UACGUAGGGGGCAAGCGUUGUCCGGAAUUAUUGGGCGUAAAGAGCGCGUAGGCGGUCCGGUAAGUCGGCUGUGAAAGUCAAGGGCUCAACCCUUGAAAGCCGGCCGAUACUGUCGGACUAGAGUCCGGAAGAGGCGAGUGGAAUUCCCGGUGUAGCGGUGAAAUGCGCAGAUAUCGGGAGGAACACCAAUGGCGAAGGCAGCUCGCUGGGACGGUACUGACGCUGAGAAGCGAAAGCAUGGGGAGCGAACAGG
rnacentral:rRNA from 1 species